GACCAGACCUGGCUUGUCAAAAGAAUGCUGCCAGAUGAUUUGUGAUUGUCUGCAGCCUGAUCCACAGAAGAGACUCAGUCUGGACAAGAUGCAUCUCCACGACUGGUUUAAGGUCACAGCGUAAAACACAACCUCAGAAAACAACUCCUGUCAUGGCCACCCUGUUGUUUUGUGUUGUAUUUUGUUUAUUGGUUUUGUUUGUGCACGGCAGUCGUCUGUGAGAGGCUG